CCGGCUAUACAACAAGAAGAACACCUGGGAGAAGAUGCAGCAGCAGCAAAAGGAGGAGACAUCCUUUGGAUUGACCAUGGAUUCAUUGGACGAUACAGGGUCGGACAGCUUCAGGACGCCAGAAUCCGAUGUCGAAAACGAUGACGUGCUGCCAGACUUCGAUGAUUUAGGUUAUCCAUCCCAAGCUUCUACUGGAGGACAAGCAUUAAGCACCAGCAGAGCAGUAGGCCUCCAGAUGGUCGAAAAGAUUGAGAAAGAAGAUGAGUGGUUCAUGGACUUGAAACUGGAUGACUUGCAGAGCUCCUUCAUGGGCUUCGGAUCAACACCUUCCAUGGAUGCAACAAACCAAGAUUAUUACUUCCAAUCCUUUGCACCUCCAAUGCAUAGACCAAGCGGCACCAACAUGUUACCAUUCUGAAUUAAGUUGAAAGUCAAAAAUGUAAAUAGAGUACAAGAAUAGGGUAGCAUAGGAGGAUGGCAGAUCAAAGAUCUAGUUAAUAUCAAUGGAUUUAUUUGCUUCAUUCCAUGCAUUACAUACAAACGUUGGUUCAUGAACGUAGCAUCAAAGCUGAUGCACAUGUGCUAUCAACUAAGUAUUGAACUCGAUCAUAAUUUGUCCUAAAACUCUAAUAAUCGUUUUCUGAUAGGACCGACAAAUGACAUCAAGAUUUAACUGUUCUUCAAUUUAGAAUGAGAAACAUAUGCAACAUUUUAUGGUGCUACUACCAUUCUGAUUCAGCAAACUGAGAUUUUGAGCAUCAAAAUCUAAAAACAAAAAAAAAACUAUGUAUAUGCAUGGGCACAAAAAUCUUUCAUAAACCUCAUAGAAGAUACGUGUCAAACAUGAAUAAAUUAAACGAGAGAGCCACUUCUACACCAAGGAAUUUUUUUUCCAUGGAGCAACAAAUACCUGAUGGAGAAAAUGUGUGAACCAUGCUAUGCAAAUCCAAAAAUCCAUGAUAGUCUCGAGGAGACUAAAGACUAAAAGAACUGUUUCUGGAGACAAAAUCAAUUCAUCCCAAUGAACACAAAAGCAUGGGUUAGUAGCAGCAUUCAAAUAAAGGAUACACUGGUUGAGCGACCCAUUAUUUCAUCAGAAUAACUUCUAUGCUGCAUGGGCCAUGCAUGCAGAAGGUAUAGCCAACUGCAAGUUGUCAGAUGUGUUACCAAAAAAUUAGGCUGGAUAUGUAAAUAAUAUUCGAAGGGUGUUAAACAAAUCAAUUAGUUUACGUGGUGCAGUCAUGGCUUAUUCUAAAACUCUCUAUGCCAUUUCUUAACUCACGGCCACUAUCAACAGAGGAUGUCACAUGAUCACCAGCAAGACCAUUAGCUAACACCAUACUAUAGUAUACUCCUAGUGAGCAAGCAGAGAAAGUUGUUCAGGAAAAAGCAAGGAAUCAAGUUGGGCGAAUAAGUGGAAAUGAAGACGAGGAUCAAACAAUUCUCAGAAUUCCCUUUACAUGCAGAUGCAGGUCAUAAUUAUCUAAAGACUCCAGCUACUAAAACCCUCACCAAGUAUAAAAAAUAUAAUGCUUACAUUUUAGUAAGUAUCCAGCCUUUCACAUCUGAAAGAAACCUUAAUUAUUCAAUGAUCCAUCCAAUGGAUAUGGAACUUUUGGUAAUAGUUCAACCCUUUGUUGGUUAGAGUAGUAACUUCAUCAUGAAAGGUAUAAGUAUAGACUAUCAGACAUAGACUAACAUAAGAUGUAAGAAAGAGAGAGAGAGAGAGAGAACAUCCUUUUUGCAAAAUUAAUUCAACAUUCCUUAUUCCAUGUUGGGGUCCCAUCAUUAAGUGCCAUCUAGCAACAACCAGGGGCUAAAUGUCUUCUCUAACCAACGGAUAAAAUACCACAUGAACUUAACAUUGCUGCCAUGAAGGCAUGAAGUGAUGAUUCAAUGACUGAGCGAUGUAGGGGCCUAGGAGAUCAUCAAUUUCUAGUUUUCCAGUUCAGGUAGUAACUCAGUCUAUGCUAUAUAAAUCCCCAUGCAUGAAUGUUCCUAGUGCACCAUAUAUUGAAGAUGGCAAGCAAAUUUGGAAAAAGAACGCAUUUGCAGAGACAGGUAACACAAAACAGAUAAACAUAUGUGAGCACUAAAGACUAGGACAAGAUUAGCAUCCUAAGAGUGAUCUUAUAAAAUUUUGCUAUAGAGAAAUGGCAAGGGAUUUUUCUUUCACAAAAUGCAUAGAUAAAAUUGAAACACACCAAUCUAUGGGGGUUCCGGACCGAUGGUUGUAUCCCAGGUGUGUUUGUUGUGGGAGGGAUAGUUGGUUAUCAUUAGCAUAGGUAACUCUUCAGAAACGACAGAGGUAUAUUCCCUGCUCUCUAGAAGACAUUUGCGAAAAAUACCUCAUUGAUUCUUCAUCAAGGAUUCCAGAAAAACUUGCUCGUUUUCCAGUUCUACCCCCAUCAGACAGACAGCCCAGUGACCUCUUUACCAGAAGCCAGAGCUUCGACCAUCUCCUUGUUUGCAUGUGGUCAUAAUUUUUAGAAUCAUAUUCCUGUUUACUAUGCAAAAAAUGAGCUGUGCAUCACAGCAAAUGCGGGUGUCACUAUCACGAAUUGACCAAUUCUCUGCCAUCUUCUUCCACUUUUGUACACAGAGACUGGUAUGUGAUAGGACAUAUUCUAGUACCACGCCUCGUGGCAACAGUCAGUAGCCACGUCAACACCAACGCAAAGCCUCAAGAUUGAUAUAGUGCAUUGCGUCGAAGUGACACCUCGGACUUGGAUGGAACGAUCGCUUGUUCCCGCACUGUCCGAGGCCAUACGAGACGACAUCGCAUAGCACAAAGCUGCUCCGGAAAGCUCGAAACGACACCGUGCAACACAAAUCCGUGUAGGUCAGUCGGCACUCGCAUAGGAGGUACAAACCGAUCGCCCGAUAAGUCGACCGCCAUUAAUAGAUCACGUACAAUCGACCCUCAUUCGUAGGUAUAAAAGUCAACCCCCUGAUCGAUGUCAAGGGAAGGACUUCGAGCAUUUAACUCCCUCUUACUUCACUCAAUACUAACUUAACCUUUAGAGGGGUCAAGUCGGGAAAUUCCUUUCCCAACCUCGGCCUGUGUGCAGGAGCUCGGCGACGAAGAAGCAGGCCACUCGCCAAGGGAGAAGACCGCACUCGGGAGACGAGGCUCAAACUCAACACGACCCGACGCUCGCUUCCACCACUCGAGCAUCCGUGUGGGCAACCUUGUGCCUCCGGGAUUGGACCAAGCCGUGCUGACACCUCAGCCACGACGUAAAGGUUCACUAGCAUUUUGACGCUAGAGGAAGGGCCCGAUGUCGUAAGAGCGUCCCCAAUCGAGCAACCCGGGAGAGCGCACUGGAGAAGAGCCACCCCCGACUCACCCGACCUUUGGGUUUGGAGGGCAACUCCCACUUCCUCCAAGCCUAGAAGGGAAUACCUCGGACGCGACCCCUAGCCGCUAUUGGCGACUAAUCAAUGAUCCCGAGUUGUCGCCUCCCAGGACCAUCAUGGGGCAGUCAACUAUCUCAGCCGAGACAUUCCUCAACCUCACCCACUAGGUACAAGCGUUAGCUGGGAUGAUGCAAACCAUCGCACCCUUCAUACUCCAGCUAGCUCAGCACACGGUUCUCCCCCCACAGCAGCGUGAGUAACCUUGCGCAUCCAGGAUUGGACCGAGUCAUGUUGACACCUCGGCCAUGGCAUAAAGGUUCACUAACAGCAUGCAUCCUCCAUCCACCCACAUAUUGGUUCUCCAGCCGUGUCCUGUUUGCUUCAUUGUGCUCAUCAAUUAAAACGCCCUAGUUCCUCUCCUUAUCAAAGAAGUCAGUGAAGGUCACAUGUCAUACAGAAGAGAGACGUCUCUGCAACAUAUCAACAAACAGGUUGUCCGCUUACUGAGCUUGAUGUGCUUACGCUAAAGAGAGCGCACCGAAACCAAAAAAAUAUUCACCGCGAAGCCAAACUAUUCUAGAACAUAGAAGACGUCUAUAGAUCACCGACACCCACAUCGCACCCGAAAGACCAUUGCCAUCAUCGCUGUCCUAGAGAUCAAAGAUUGUUGUACCUGGGCAGGAAGGAGGUGACCGCACAGCGAUCCAGCCGAGUCACUGCCAUCUGGUGCUGAUCAUCUUAUGUUGUUGAGAUGGGAAAAACUGGAACUGAUCUGAGAGGAGUGAAGGGCGUGGAGAAUCAUGGUGGCGUACGGUCUUGUUGGAGGAGGAGAGGGU
rnacentral:lncRNA from 1 species